rnacentral:lncRNA from 1 species
AGAAGCUAGAAUCAGCCUUAUUGCACCCCUCAGAGAUCACAGCAGCAGUCAGUGCUCUCCUCAGAGAUCUGAAUUCUACUUUCAUGCGGCCCCUCCCCUGAGCUCCUGAGAUAGCCAAUGUUUGAGCCACCUCCUCAGAAGUUUGAGCCUCAACACCGUGGGAUCCCUUCUUUGUGCUCCAGAGAUCCAGUAACAGCCAGCCAUCACCCUCUCUUCAUUCUUCAUAGGCCUGAACUAAGGUGUUCAGGGCCCUCCUUCAAGCUUUUAGGUUCUGAUGACUCCAACCACUUCUUUUGUUCCAUCCUUUCCUAGCUCUAGGAAUGGUAGCUGCUACCUGCAGUGAUUACCUGUUACCUUUUAUAAUUCCUUUUGACCAAUUUCCCAUAUUAAAAUAUUUCUCAAUAACUAAUGUGAUUUCUGUUUUCCUGACUGGACCCUGAUUUUAAAAUGCACACAAAAGCCAGGUGCAGUGGCUUAUGCCUGUAAUCCCACCACUGUGGGAGGCCGAGGCAGGUGGAUCACCUGAAGUCAGGAGUUCGAGACCAGCCUGGCCAACAUGGC